rnacentral:rRNA from 1 species
GACGAACGCUGGCGGCGUGCCUAAUACAUGCAAGUAGAACGCUGAAGGAGGAGCUUGCUUCUCUGGAUGAGUUGCGAACGGGUGAGUAACGCGUAGGUAACCUGCCUGGUAGCGGGGGAUAACUAUUGGAAACGAUAGCUAAUACCGCAUAAGAGUAGAUGUUGCAUGACAUUUGCUUAAAAGGUGCAAUUGCAUCACUACCAGAUGGACCUGCGUUGUAUUAGCUAGUUGGUGGGGUAACGGCUCACCAAGGCGACGAUACAUAGCCGACCUGAGAGGGGGAUCGGCCACACUGGGACUGAGACACGGCCCAGACUCCUACGGGAGGCAGCAGUAGGGAAUCUUCGGCAAUGGACGGAAGUCUGACCGAGCAACGCCGCGUGAGUGAAGAAGGGUUUCGGAUCGUAAAGCUCUGUUGUAAGAGAAGAACGAGUGUGAGAGUGGAAAGUUCACACUGUGACGGUAUCUUACCAGAAAGGGACGGCUAACUACGUG